AGAGUUUGAUCCUGGCUCAGGACGAACGCUGGCGGCGUGCUUAACACAUGCAAGUCGAACGAUGAAGCUCUUUCGGGGGUGGAUUAGUGGCGAACGGGUGAGUAAUACGUGAGUAACCUGCCCCCUUCUUUGGGAUAAGCCUUGGAAACGGGGUCUAAUACUGGAUAUUCCUGGUCUGGCGCAUGUCGGGUUGGGGAAAGUUUUAUCGGUGGGGGAUGGGCUCGCGGCCUAUCAGCUUGUUGGUGGGGUGAUGGCCUACCAAGGCGUCGACGGGUAGCCGGCCUGAGAGGGUGACCGGUCACACUGGGACUGAGAUACGGCCCAGACUCCUACGGGAGGCAGCAGUGGGGGAUAUUGCACAAUGGGCGCAAGCCUGAUGCAGCGACGCCGCGUGAGGGAUGACGGCUUUCGGGUUGUAAACCUCUUUCGACACGGAACAAGGCUCUGCUUUUGUGGGGUUGAGGGUACGUGUAUAAGAAGCGCCGGCUAACUACGUGCCAGCAGCCGCGGUAAUACGUAGGGCGCGAGCGUUGUCCGGAAUUAUUGGGCGUAAAGAGCUUGUAGGCGGUUGAUCACGUCGGAAGUGAAAUUCCAGGGCUUAACUCCGCACGUGCAGUGGAUACGGGCAGGCUUG
rnacentral:rRNA from 1 species